GUUCUAGUCCCACAUGUGUAUGUUCGUGGCUGGUUGGUGUAGCAGCAGUAUACAAGAGGCUGUGUACAUGUCACACCAGAUGGCGGCUGUGGAAGAUUUUACGUUACAGCACCAGCUUACAGCAACUUUACAUAGAAUAGAUACAUCCUGGCAUAACAGUCAUCUUUAGGCUGUUUCACAUAUACUUCUUUGAUUUUAACACAAAUUGUGCAUUACAUUAGUUUUGUCAUAAUACUGUCAUUAAUAAUUAAUUAUGUCAAAGUUAUAAAAUUAUUAAAUUAUAUAAAAAUA